rnacentral:lncRNA from 1 species
GUACCUGAAGAUGAAUUUUAAACCAUAUUUGAGCAAUGAUGUUAAGAAACUAGAAGAUGCACAAGUUAAACAAGAAGAAGCCAUAAAAACUGCUAUUCUUGCCUCACUAAAAGAGUCUGUUCAUCUGGAUGCAACAGUCUCUUAUUUUCUCAAGGAUACAGAAAGCAUCAUGAAUACUAUUACAAAUGUGUACGAUUUGGAAUCGGCUUCGUCUACCAACUCUGCUUUGAAAAGUCUGCCUUCUGAUUCACUAGAAAAAAAAUUUGUUCCACUUGACAUAAAUAGGACUAAUAUACACCAAAGAACACAAGCAUCUGUGUGGAUUUCCUUUUAUGAAAUUUAUAAUGAAUAUGUGUAUGACCUAUUAAAUGUAUUGUCUACAUCAAAAAGUCAGAAACGCAGAG